AUUGAACGCUGGCGGCAGGCUUAACACAUGCAAGUCGAACGAGUGGCGGACGGGUGAGUAAUGCUUGGGAAUCUAGCUUAUGGAGGGGGAUAACUACGGGAAACUGUAGCUAAUACCGCAUACCAUCGGAUGUGCCCAGAUGGGAUUAGCUAGUAGGUGGGGUAACGGCUCACCUAGGCGACGAUCCCUAUCUGGUCUGAGAGGAUGAUCCGCCACACGGGAACUGAGACACGGUCCAGACUCCUACGGGAGGCAGCAGUGGGGAAUAUUGGACAAUGGGCGCAAGCCUGGUGCAGCCAUGCCGCGUGUAUGAAGAAGGCCUUCGGGUUGUAAAGUACUUUCAGCGAGGAGGAGUUACUCACAGAAGAAGCACCGGCUAACUCCGUGCCAGCAGCCGCGGUAAUAC
rnacentral:rRNA from 1 species